CAUACUUAGUCAUAUGGUCGACUUGCUCUUUAUGUAGAUAUUUUUUCGAUAGAUUAGUCACCCAGUGGUUUAAAUAUUAUCAGAUCGAUAUUAAAAUUGUAAAUUGAUAAUUUGUCUUCAUAAUACGGUUGCGUUGAAGUCACAUUGAUAACAACUAUUAAUCCUUGACGAGUAUGGAUAAUGCCGUCAAAAGUUAAGCGCGGAAGUCCCUGACCGGAUACGAAUCCGAGGGAAGCACGGAUAGAAGGGAGAAAGAGGGGAAAUGUGGAGACAGGAUAUCCGACGAUGUCCUCGCACUUCCGGCCUUUUACUUCCGCCAUGUUACUGACUCGAUUUUCUCAGUUAAGCUCGUGCGAUGGGACCAAAAUAACUGUAAAUCUAUGUUCAUUAUUGUAGCUGGAUUUUCGUGAACAAGUUAUUUAAAUACUAUAUAAAUUGCUUGCAUUAUUGUCGUUUUUGAAACGAUUUAUAAAUAAAGGAGUUUCUUAAUUCAUU